UUCAGAGAGAAGGGUUGGAUGUUUUGUCUACUCAUCUCUUCUUCAAGGUCAAGCAAUAGUAGCAGUGUUUGGUGGCAGUGGAAGAAACAACAGUAGUGAUCCUUUGUCAUUGUGGUCAGGGAGGCUCUGUCUUCUUCCUUUUACUAAGGCCCUCAGAAUAAAGAGCCAAGAUGACAAUGUUCCAGUGAAGCGAAACAAAUAGGAAAAUGAACUUUGUGAACUGAUCCCAAUAAAAAGACAAAGUUCGGAGACCACACCGCAACUGCAUAUUCCAGCCUUGGACGUGUAUCAUACUUGUGAUGAUUUUUUUUAAUUGUAUCUUUGUCCAUAAACUGAAAUACCACUCUUACAUUACUCAACAUUUUAUGAUAGUCCAAAUAUCUUGCUUAUGUGUUUUUUGGAGUUCAGAUUUUCCUGUAUGAUAACUCCCACAUCUUUUUUCCUCUUUAGUUUUCAUUAUUUGUUCCAUCAAAUAGUUCCAAACCAGUCUUCUCUUGCUCUUUCUUAGUUCCAUUAUGUGACAUUUCUUGGUAUUGAACUCUAAUUUUCACUUCUUACUCCACUCACAUAAAUAUAUCUUCCUGUAACAGCAGACAGUCCUCCUUGGUUUUGAUAACCCUUAGCUUUUGCACAUCCGUUAACAAAUAAAUUAAUAUAACUGUUUACCCCAUUGUGAAUGUCAUUUACAUAAAUCUGA